rfam:Canis lupus familiaris chromosome 23, whole genome shotgun sequence.
AGGAGGAACAACCGCAGUGGCGGGGCCAGCUCUGGAGCCCUGGAGUCAGCCCCCGCAGUAACCACAGAGCUCUCCGUCUGCAGGGCCUGGAGGCUCCGGGGCGGG